GUGCUCGCUUUGGCAGCACAUAUACUACAAUUGGAACGAUACAGAGAAGAUUAGCAUGGCCUGUGAAGCAUUCCAUAUUUAAAAAAAAAAGAAGAAGAAAAUCUAU